CGUGUAGGCGGCGCGCCAAGUCGGAUGUGAAAUCCCUCGGCUCAACCGAGGAACUGCAUCCGAUACUGGCGGGCUAGAGUCCGGGAGAGGGUAGCGGAAUUCCCAGUGUAGCGGUGAAAUGCGUAGAUAUUGGGAAGAACACCGGUGGCGAAGGCGGCUACCUGGACCGGUACUGACGCUGAGGCGCGAAAGCCAGGGGAGCGAAUG
rnacentral:rRNA from 1 species